GACGAACGCUGGCGGCGUGCCUAAUACAUACAAGUUGAGCGCUGAAGGUUGGUACUUGUACCAACUGGAUGAGCAGCGAACGGGUGAGUAACGCGUGGGGAAUCUGCCUUUGAGCGGGGGACAACAUUUGGAAACGAAUGCUAAUACCGCAUAAAAACUUUAAACACAAGUUUUAAGUUUGAAAGAUGCAAUUGCAUCACUCAAAGAUGAUCCCGCGUUGUAUUAGCUAGUUGGUGAGGUAAAGGCUCACCAAGGCGAUGAUACAUAGCCGACCUGAGAGGGUGAUCGGCCACAUUGGGACUGAGACACGGCCCAAACUCCUACGGGAGGCAGCAGUAGGGAAUCUUCGGCAAUGGACGAAAGUCUGACCGAGCAACGCCGCGUGAGUGAAGAAGGUUUUCGGAUCGUAAAACUCUGUUGGUAAAGAAGAACGUUGGUGAGAGUGGAAAGCUCAUCAAGUGACGGUAACUACCGAGAAAGGGACGGCUAACUACGUG
rnacentral:rRNA from 1 species